rnacentral:snRNA from 1 species
AUAAAUACUCUCUUCACCUAAAA